rnacentral:rRNA from 1 species
UGCCGGCGACCGGCGGACGGGUGCGUAACGCGUAUGUAACCUACCUUUGACAGGGGGAUAACAUCGAGAAAUUGGUACUAAUACCCCAUAACAUCACCGGAGGCAUCUUCGGUGGUUGAAAACUCAGGUGGUCAGAGAUGGACAUGCGUUGUAUUAGCUAGUUGGUGAGGUAACGGCUCACCAAGGCGACGAUACAUAGGGGGACUGAGAGGUCAACCCCCCACAUUGGUACCGAGACACGGACCAAACUCCUACGGGAGGCAGCAG